AGAGUUUUUUUUUGGCUCAGGAUGAACGCUGGCGGCGUGCUUAACACAUGCAAGUCGAACGGGGAUGCCAUUUUUGAAGCGAUUAGCUGGCUGAGAGUGGAAAUGUUGGCAUCUUAGUGGCGGACGGGUGAGUAACGCGUGGGGAACCUGCCCUGUACAGGGGGAUAACACUGAGAAAUAGGUGCUCAUACCGCAUAAGCGCACAGUAGCGCAUGAUACAGUGUGAAAAACUCCGGCGGCACAGGAUGGACCCGCGUUCUGAUUAGCUGGUUGGCGGGGUAACGGCCCACCAAGGCAACUAUCUGUAGCCGGCCUGAGAGGGCGGACGGCCACAUUGGGACAGAGACACUGCCCACACUCCUACGGGAGGCCACCAGUAGGGAUUCUUCCACAAUGGACGAGAGUGUAAUGGGGUAACGCUGGGUGAGUGAAGAAGGGUUUCGGCUCGUAAAGCUCUGUUGGUGGUGAAGAAAGAUAGAGGUAGUACUGAGCCUUUAUUUGACGGUAAUUACUUAGAAAGUCACGGCUAACUACGUGCCAGCAGCCGCGGUAAUACGUAGGUGGCAAGCGUUGUCCGGAUUUAUUGGACGUAAAGCGAGUGCAGGCGGUUCAAUAAGUCUGAUGUGAAAGCCUUCGGCUCAACCGGAGAAUUGCAUCAGAAACUGUUGAACUUGAGUGCAGAAGAGGAGAGUGGAACUCCAUGUGUAGCGGUGGAAUGCGUAGAUAUUAGGAGGAACACCAGUGGCGAAGGCGGCUUACUGGACUGUAACUGACGUUGAGGCUCGAAAGCGUGGGGAGCAAACAGAAUUAGAUACCCUGGUAGUCCACGCCGUAAACGAU
rnacentral:rRNA from 1 species